UGAAUACGAGACGCUAAGGCGUCGAAGUAGUGUAUGUCAUACUUCCAAGAGAAGCUUGCACUGUCAUAGAUAAAAAACGCCUGUACCAUAACCGACACAGGUGGGUAGGUAGAGUAUACUAAGGGGCGCGAGAUAACUCUCUCUAAGGAACUCGGCAAAAUAACUCCGUAACUUCGGGAGAAGGAGUGCCUUAUUCGUAAGGUUGCAAUAACAAGAUCCAAGCAACUGUUUAUCAAAAACACAGGUCUCCGCUAAGUCGUAAGACGAUGUAUGGGGGCUGACGCCUGCCCAGUGCCAGAAGGUUAAAGAAGUUGGUUAGCAAUUGCGAAGCUGAUAACUGAAGCCCUGGUGAACGGCGGCCGUAACUAUAACGGUCCUAAGGUAGCGAAAUUCCUUGUCGGGUAAGUUCCGACCCGCACGAAAGGCGUAAUGAUUUGGAUACUGUCUCGGAGAGGGGCUCGGUGAAAUAGACUUGUCUGUGAAGAUGCGGACUACCUGCACCAGGACAGAAAGACCCUAUGAAGCUUUACUGUAACUUGAAAUUGAAAUUGGACUUUAUUCGCGCAGCAUAGGUGGGAGGCGUUGAUUAUAAUCUUGCGGGAUUAUUGGAGCCAUCAGUGAGAUACCACUCUUGUAAUGUUAGAUUUCUAACUUUGAAUCAUUAUCUGGUCAAAGAACAGUUUCAGGCGGGCAGUUUGACUGGGGCGGUCGCCUCCUAAACGGUAACGGAGGCGUACAAAGGUUUCCUCUGAACGGUUAGAAAUCGUAUCUAGAGUGUAAAGGCAUAAGGAAGCUUGACUGUGAGACCUACAAGUCGAGCAGGGACGAAAGUCGGUCUUAGUGAUCUGACGGUACUGAGUGGAAAGGCCGUCACUCAACGGAUAAAAGUUACUCUAAGGAUAACAGGCUGAUCUCCCCCAAGAGUUCACAUCGACGGGGAGGUUUGGCACCUCGAUGUCGGCUCAUCGCAUCCUGGGGCGGUAGUACGUCCCAAGGGUUGGGCUGUUCGCCCAUGAAAGCGGUACGCGAGCUGGGUUCAGAACGUCGUGAGACAGUUCGGUCCAUAUCCGGUGUAGGCGUUAGAAUAUUGAGAGGAGCCUUCUUUAGUACGAGAGGACCGAGAAGGACAUACCUCUGGUGUACCAGUUAUCGUGCCAACGGUAAACGCUGGGUAGCUAUGUAUGGAGUGGAUAACCGCUGAAAGCAUCUAAGUGGGAAGCCCACCUCAAGAUAAGUAUUCUCAC
rnacentral:rRNA from 1 species